GACGAACGCUGGCGGCGUGCCUAAUACAUGCAAGUAGAACGAGUUGCGAACGGGUGAGUAACGCGUGGUAACCUGCCUCAUAGCGGGGGAUAACUAUUGGAAACGAUAGCUAAUACCGCAUACCAUCGGAUGUGCUCAGAUGGGAUUAGCUAGUAGGUGGGGUAACGGCUCACCUAGGCGAUGAUCCCUAGCUGAUCUGAGAGGAUGGCCAGCCACACUGGGACUGAUACACGGGUCAGACUCCUACGGGAGGCAGCAGUGGGGAAUAUUCCACAAUGGGCGAAAGCCUGAUGCAUCCAUGCCGCGUGUAUGAAGAAGGCCGUCGAGUUGUAAAGUACUUUCAGCGAUGAGGCGUUAUUCGCAGAAGAAGCACCGGCUAACUCCGUGCCAGCAGCCGCGGUAAUAC
rnacentral:rRNA from 1 species